UACAGAGGUCCCGAGCGUUGCGCGGAAUCAUUGGGCUUAAAGCGUGCGUAGGCGGAGCCGCAAGUACCUUGUGAAAUCCCCCGGCUCAACCGGGGAACGGCUUGGUAGACUGCGGUUCUUGAGCCCGGUAGGGGCGGCCGGAACGAUAGGUGUAGCGGUGAAAUGCGUAGAUAUCUAUCGGAACGCCGAAGGUGAAGACAGGCCGCUGGGCCGGUGCUGACGCUGAGGCAAGAAAGCGUGGGGAGCAAACGGG
rnacentral:rRNA from 1 species